rnacentral:rRNA from 1 species
UACGUAGGGUGCAAGCGUUAAUCGGAAUUAUUGGGCGUAAAGAGCUCGUAGGCGGCUUGUCGCGUCGGAUGUGAAAGCCCGGGGCUUAACUCCGAGUCUGCAUUCGAUACGGGCAGGCUAGAGUUCGGUAGGGGAGAUCGGAAUUCCUGGUGUAGCGGUGAAAUGCGCAGAUAUCAGGAGGAACACCGGUGGCGAAGGCGGAUCUCUGGGCCGAUACUGACGCUGAGGAGCGAAAGCGUGGGGAGCGAACAGG